GUUAACAUAUUAAUUAUUUUUAGUGGAAGCUGUCAUGCUUCCUCUUGGGAAAGAACAGCUUUUAAAAUGUUUGAUAAUUAAUAAAAAGUAAGCAUAUCCUCAAAAAUCACUGAAUUACUCAAUUUAAUCUAAGAGCUCUCUUACACUUGUAUAAAGGACUGGAUUGUGGCAUUCACUCUGCCUAUAGAUUAAAGUUGCUCUGAAGGUGUGUCGAUGAGGAUAAAAAUUCUCCUAGAUGAAAAAAUCCACCUGCUUGCUUUCUACCCAAUGUGCUAUGAUUAACGGAAUUUAGGCUUAGUCUUUACAAACCGAUUGGUUUUAAAAACUGAAAAAUUGAAUUCUGUCUUGUGACUUUUCAUUCAUUUUUUCCUAAUAAAACAAAACAAAAUAACUUGUUAUACAUACUUUAAGAGUGGUUUCAAAUAAAAGGGAAGGGCUAAUUUGACUGUCUCGAUUACAUCUCUCUCACAUGUUUAAGGUGUGAAUAUUACCUGGUCUUUUAAAUAAAUGAAGUAGAGUUUAGAUCGGAAAGAGCAC